AGAGUUUGAUCAUGGCUCAGGACGAACGCUGGCGGCGCGCCUAACACAUGCAAGUCGAACGGAGUUAUUUUCUUCACUCCGAGCUUUUUGCCAGUUAGCCGGAGCGGCAAUCGGUUUUGCCCAGCAUAAAAAGCAAAACCGAUUUAGGCUCAUAAAGUAAGACUAACACAGAGGGCAGAGAGUUGGGAGUGAAGAAAAUAACUUAGUGGCGAACGGGUGAGUAACGCGUGAGUAACCUGCCCUGGAGUGGGGGACAACAGUUGGAAACGACUGCUAAUACCGCAUAAGCCCACGGCCCGGCAUCGGGCUGAGGGAAAAGGAUUUAUUCGCUUCAGGAUGGACUCGCGUCCAAUUAGCUAGUUGGUGAGGUAACGGCCCACCAAGGCGACGAUUGGUAGCCGGACUGAGAGGUUGAACGGCCACAUUGGGACUGAGACACGGCCCAGACUCCUACGGGAGGCAGCAGUGGGGGAUAUUGCACAAUGGGGGAAACCCUGAUGCAGCGACGCCGCGUGGAGGAAGAAGGUUUUCGGAUUGUAAACUCCUGUCGUUAGGGACGAUAAUGACGGUACCUAACAAGAAAGCACCGGCUAACUACGUGCCAGCAGCCGCGGUAAAACGUAGGGUGCAAGCGUUGUCCGGAAUUACUGGGUGUAAAGGGAGCGCAGGCGGACCGGCAAGUUGGAAGUGAAAACUAUGGGCUCAACCCAUAAAUUGCUUUCAAAACUGCUGGCCUUGAGUAGUGCAGAGGUAGGUGGAAUUCCCGGUGUAGCGGUGGAGUGCGUAGAUAUCGGGAGGAACACCAGUGGCGAAGGCGACCUACUGGGCACCAACUGACGCUGAGGCUCGAAAGCAUGGGUAGCAAACAGGAUUAGAUACCCUGGUAGUCCAUGCCGUAAACGAUGAUUACUAGGUGUUGGAGGAUUGACCCCUUCAGUGCCGCAGUUAACACAAUAAGUAAUCCACCUGGGGA
rnacentral:rRNA from 1 species